GAUUAACGCUAGCGGCAGGCCUAAUACAUGCAAGGUCGAGGGGCAGCAGGGUGUAGCAAUACAUCGCUGGCGACCGGCGCGACGGGUGCGUAACACGUAUGCAACCUACCUUUAACUGGGGAAUAGCCCUCCGAAAGGAGGAUUAACACCGCAUAACAUCACGAGACGGCAUCGCCUUGUGAUCAAACCUCCGGGGGUUAAAGAUGGGCAUGCGUCCGAUUAGCUAGUUGGCGGGGUAACGGCCCACCAAGGCGACGAUCGGUAGGGGGUCUGAGAGGAUGAUCCCCCACACUGGUACUGAGACACGGACCAGACUCCUACGGGAGGCAGCAGUAAGGAAUAUUGGACAAUGGUCGCAAGACUGAUCCAGCCAUGCCGCGUGCAGGAUGAACGAUCUAUGAUCUGUAAACUGCUUUUGUUCGGGAAUAAACCCCUUCACGUGUGGAGGGCUGAAUGUACCGAAAGAAUAAGGGUCGGCUAACUUCGUG
rnacentral:rRNA from 1 species